AGUAGCGGCGAGCGAAACGGGAAGAGCCCAAACCAACAAGCUUGCUUGUUGGGGUUGUAGGACACUCUAUACGGAGUUACAAAGGACGACAUUAGACGAAUCAUCUGGAAAGAUGAAUCAAAGAAGGUAAUAAUCCUGUAGUCGAAAAUGUUGUCUCUCUUGAGUGGAUCCUGAGUACGACGGAGCACGUGAAAUUCCGUCGGAAUCUGGGAGGACCAUCUCCUAAGGCUAAAUACUCUCUAGUGACCGAUAGUGAACCAGUACCGUGAGGGAAAGGUGAAAAGCACCCCGGAAGGGGAGUGAAAUAGAACCUGAAACCGUGUGCUUACAAGUAGUCAGAGCCCGUUAAUGGGUGAUGGCGUGCCUUUUGUAGAAUGAACCGGCGAGUUACGAUUUGAUGCAAGGUUAAGCAGUAAAUGUGGAGCCGUAGCGAAAGCGAGUCUGAAUAGGGCGUUUAGUAUUUGGUCGUAGACCCGAAACCAGGUGAUCUACCCUUGGUCAGGUUGAAGUUCAGGUAACACUGAAUGGAGGACCGAACCGACUUACGUUGAAAAGUGAGCGGAUGAACUGAGGGUAGCGGAGAAAUUCCAAUCGAACCUGGAGAUAGCUGGUUCUCUCCGAAAUAGCUUUAGGGCUAGCCUCAAGUGAUGAUUAUUGGAGGUAGAGCACUGUUUGGACGAGGGGCCCCUCUCGGGUUACCGAAUUCAGACAAACUCCGAAUGCCAAUUAAUUUAACUUGGGAGUCAGAACAUGGGUGAUAAGGUCCGUGUUCGAAAGGGAAACAGCCCAGACCACCAGCUAAGGUCCCAAAAUAUAUGUUAAGUGGAAAAGGAUGUGGCGUUGCCCAGACAACUAGGAUGUUGGCUUAGAAGCAGCCAUCAUUUAAAGAGUGCGUAAUAGCUCACUAGUCGAGUGACACUGCGCCGAAAAUGUACCGGGGCUAAACAUAUUACCGAAGCUGUGGAUUGUCCUUUGGACAAUGGUAGGAGAGCGUUCUAAGGGCGUUGAAGCAUGAUCGUAAGGACAUGUGGAGCGCUUAGAAGUGAGAAUGCCGGUGUGAGUAGCGAAAGACGGGUGAGAAUCCCGUCCACCGAUUGACUAAGGUUUCCAGAGGAAGGCUCGUCCGCUCUGGGUUAGUCGGGUCCUAAGCUGAGGCCGACAGGCGUAGGCGAUGGAUAACAGGUUGAUAUUCCUGUACCACCUAUAAUCGUUUUAAUCGAUGGGGGGACGCAGUAGGAUAGGCGAAGCGUGCGAUUGGAUUGCACGUCUAAGCAGUAAGGCUGAGUAUUAGGCAAAUCCGGUACUCGUUAAGGCUGA
rnacentral:rRNA from 1 species